GUUAGGAAUAUUGGACAAUGGGCGCAAGCCUGAUCCAGCCAUGCCGCGUGAGUGAUGAAGGCCUUCGGGUUGUAAAGCUCUUUAGCCGAUGAUUAUAAUGACUGUAGUCGGAAAAUAAGCCCCGGCUAACUUCGUGCCAGCAGCCGCGGUAAUACGAAGGGGGCGAGCGUUAUUCGGAAUCACUGGGCGUAAAGCGUGCGUAGGCGGCUUUGCAAGUUGGGAGUGAAAGCCCAGGGCUCAACCCUGGAAUUGCUCUCAAAACUGCAAGGCUCGAAUUCGGGAGAGGAGAGCGGAAUUGUCAGUGUAGCAGUGAAAUGCGUAGAUAUUGACAGGAACACCAGUGGCGUAAGCGGCUAUCUGGACCGAUAUUGACGCUGAGGCACGAAAGCGUGGGGAUCAAACAGGAUUAGAAACCCUGGUAGUCC
rnacentral:rRNA from 1 species